ACGAACGCUGGCGGCGUGCCUCAUACAUGCAAGUAGAACGCUGAAGGAGGAGCUUGCUCUUCUGGAUGAGUUGCGAACGGGUGAGUAACGCGUAGGUAACCUGCCUGGUAGCGGGGGAUAACUAUUGGAAACGAUAGCUAAUACCGCAUAAGAGUAGAUGUUGCAUGACAUUUACUUAAAAGGUGCAAUUGCAUCACUACCAGAUGGACCUGCGUUGUAUUAGCUAGUUGGUGGGGUAACGGCUUACCAAGGCGACGAUACAUAGCCGACCUGAGAGGGUGAUCGGCCACACUGGGACUGAGACACGGCCCAGACUCCUACGGGAGGCAGCAGGAGGGAAUCUUCGGCAAUGGACGGAAGUCUGACCGAGCAACGCCGCGUGAGUGAAGAAGGUUUUCGGAUCGUAAAGCUCUGUUGUAAGAGAAGAACGAGUGUGAGAGUGGAAAGUUCACACUGUGACGGUAGCUUACCAGAAAGGGACGGCUAACUACGUG
rnacentral:rRNA from 1 species